rnacentral:lncRNA from 1 species
AUCCAAAUAAAAUAUCAAGAUUACAUGUUCAAAAAAUAAAUUGAAGAAAAAAAACAAAAUGGAGUUGUGGCAUGCGGGGUUGAUGCUGCGAUGAUGUAGGGCUGCGACUUUAUUGUGACUCUAGUAUUAUGAGCUUACAACACUGCUAUGGUGGUGGUGCCAUUAAUUGCUGUGUUGGGCUUAAAUGAACGAGAGAGUAACACGGACAAAAGGAGACUGUGGAAGAUUAAGAGGGGCAAGAAAUCAAGACGAGGUAGAAAAUAAAAAUAAAGAAGAUACAAAAUAAAAGAAGAUGAUGAGAGAGAAGGUGAGCGGCUAUGUGAGAAGGAGAUCUAAANN